rnacentral:lncRNA from 1 species
AAGGAUUUUGCAGGUAGCAAAUAACUCAGCAACUUUUUAGUAUUAUAUAAUAAGGUGAGCUGCAUAUAUCUGCUGCCAGUUCUGCUCUCAGCUACGCAGACCAUGGGAAUAAAUUAAACUUGUUUUGAAGAACACACACUCCUAACACUUAUGUGUACAGAAAAGGUUUUUAAAUACAAAGGUUAUGUUAAGCAUUACUAGAAAGCACAAGAGGCAAAGAAUAGCACGGCACUCACAGGGUGUGAGACUUCCCUUUCCUUACAACCAAGGAAUGCAUGUGAACCAGUGUUCCUUAGCAUUAGAAUUAACUAGUGCUGACAGCUGAAGCUAAAGUAAAAUUAUCACCUACCACUGGAAUAUCUGAGAUCUUAAAACAUGAUGUGCCUUGUCUUCUUGGGAGUCAUCUCUAUCUGUCAAGGGUUUUAAAGAACUGAGGUUUUUCACAUAGACUUGGGCACAUCUAUUGCUCCUCCCCAGCAGCUGGAAUAUAUCAUCAUUUACUUGGAUUGACAGCCAGUACAAACUAAUACUAACUGCUUUAUAACUGCUGAAUACUGGACCUUAACUUUUGAAGACCCAGCUAGUGUUGCUGGAGGGGUAGCCUGGCCUGGGCAGCGGGCUCUGCUCCUGUGACCUCCCCGUUUCUAUGCAUCAGCUGUUGCAUCAUGCCAUGGAAAUAACCUUAACAGCAGAAAUACCGUGCUCUUUGUCCAGACACCAAUGACUUAUCAGGUGAUAAAUGCAAGCCUACUGUGAUCCCAUGUUAAUAAUGGCAGCCAGCUGUAUUAUUCUCAGGUGUUCUAGGGGAGCAAGCCAAACCAGCUGCGUAGCCCAUCCAGGAGAACAACAUGUGCAGAGCAUGAUACCUCCACCUGGGAUGUGGGCAGAGGGCAGCUCAGAUGAACUGGGUUCCCUUCAUCCUGGAAGCAGCUGA